UAUGGCUAUAUCAUGUUGAAACAUUGGACCCCAUACAAUCACCAAAGUUAAGCAAUGUUGAACCUGGUCAGUACCAAGAUGGAUGAUCAUUUGGGAAUACCAGGUGCUGUAAG